AGCAGCUUAUGUUGCCUUUUGGUUAGAGCGUUCGCCUCGGAUGCGGGAGAUCGCAGGUUCGAACCCCGGCUGAGUCA